GAUGAACGCUGGCGGCGUGCCUAAUACAUGCAAGUCGAGCGAACAGAUGAGGAGCUUGCUCCUCUGACGUUAGCGGCGGACGGGUGAGUAACACGUGGAUAACCUACCUAUAAGACUGGGAUAACUUCGGGAAACCGGAGCUAAUACCGGAUAAUAUAUUGAACCGCAUGGUUCAAUAGUGAAAGACGGUUUUGCUGUCACUUAUAGAUGGAUCCGCGCCGCAUUAGCUAGUUGGUAAGGUAACGGCUUACCAAGGCAACGAUGCGUAGCCGACCUGAGAGGGUGAUCGGCCACACUGAAACUGAGACACGGUCCAGACCCCUACGGGAGGCAGCAGUAGGGAAUCUUCCGCAAUGGGCGAAAGCCUGACGGAGCAACGCCGCGUGAGUGAUGAAGUUCUUCGGAUCGUAAAACUCUGUUAUUAGGGAAGAACAAAUGUGUAAGUAACUAUGCACGUCUUGACGGUACCUAAUCAGAAAGCCACGGCUAACUACGU
rnacentral:rRNA from 1 species